rnacentral:rRNA from 1 species
AUUGAACGCUGGCGGCAGGCUUAACACAUGCAAGUCGAGCGGCAGCGGGAAAGUAGCUUGCUACUUUUGCCGGCGAGCGGCGGACGGGUGAGUAAUGCCUGGGGAUCUGCCCAGUCGAGGGGGAUAACUACUGGAAACGGUAGCUAAUACCGCAUACGCCCUACGGGGGAAAGCAGGGGACCUUCGGGCCUUGCGCGAUUGGAUGAACCCAGGUGGGAUUAGCUAGUUGGGGAGGUAAUGGCUCACCAAGGCGACGAUCCCUAGCUGGUCUGAGAGGAUGAUCAGCCACACUGGAACUGAGACACGGUCCAGACUCCUACGGGAGGCAGCAGUGGGGAAUAUUGCACAAUGGGGGAAACCCUGAUGCAGCCAUGCCGCGUGUGUGAGGAAGGCCUUCGGGUUGUAAAGCACUUUCAGCGAGGAGGAAAGGUUGGUAGCUAAUAACUGCCAGCCGUGACGUUACUCGCAGAAGAAGCACCGGCUAACUCCGUGCCAGCAGCCGCCGUAA